AGAGUUUGAUCCUGGCUCAGAACGAACGCUGGCGGCAUGCCUAACACAUGCAAGUCGAACGAGAGGCUUCGGUUCGCUGGGGUCUCUAGUGGCGCACGGGUGAGUAGCGCGUGGGAACCUGCCCUGGAGUGGGGGAUAACCGAGGGAAACUUCGGCUAAUACCGCAUGCGCCCGGCGAGUGAUCGCCGGGGAAAGAUUUAUCGCUCUAGGAGGGGCCCGCGUCGGAUUAGCUAGUUGGUGGGGUAACGGCCUACCAAGGCGAUGAUCCGUAGCUGGUCUGAGAGGAUGAUCAGCCACACUGGGACUGAGACACGGCCCAGACUCCUACGGGAGGCAGCAGUGGGGAAUCUUGCGCAAUGGGCGAAAGCCUGACGCAGCGACGCCGCGUGGGGGAUGAAGCUUCUCGGAGUGUAACCCCUUUCGACCCGGAAGAAUG
rnacentral:rRNA from 1 species